GACAGAGGUGCCAAGCGUUAGGCGGAAUCACUGGGCUUAAAGCGUGUGUAGGCGGAUAUCUAAGUACCUUGUGAAAUCCCACGGCUCAACCGUGGAACUGCUUGGUAUACUGGGUGUCUUGAGCCAUCUAAGGGCUACCGGAACAAAUGGUGGAGCGGUGAAAUGCGUAGAUAUCAGGAGGAACACCGAUGGCGAAGGCAGGUCUCUGGGCUGACACUGACGCUCAUGCACGAAAGCGUGGGGAGCAAACAGG
rnacentral:rRNA from 1 species